rnacentral:lncRNA from 1 species
UUAGACAGGAAAAAGGUGCAGAAGGAGAUGUGGGAGGGUUGAACCUUCAUAGCAGGAGAAAAAAAUCCCAUUCUUCUUCCCCUAGUGAAGCAGGAGAUGGAAUACCUGAGAUUAAAGGGUAGGCUGGCCCUCUUUGCACUGGAGGCUAUCCACAUUCCAGAUGGGAGAUACAGCUAACAGCAAGAGGCAGAAAUUUCCUUGUGCUAGCAGAGGCACUGGCAAGCAAUACAAUCAGGAUUAUACAUGUAUUACCAUUUGGGGUUUUCCUAGAAGAGAUACUGGAGUAAUUUACCAUUUCCUUCUCCAGAUAAUUUUACAGCUGGGUCAUGGUGGAGAGAGAUGCUGAAGGUAUCAUCAAGCUUCAUCUCCCCUGGGAUCCAAUCUGGAAAUACCUAGAAGCUCUAGGUUUGGAAUCAGGAGCUCUGGCACUAGUACUUACCAUCUGAGUGGCCUUGGACCCUCAACUGAAUUUCAGGGCUUGGGAAGAGCCCACAAGGCAGUCAGACAAGAAGUCUGGAAGAAGCAGAUCUCUGAAGCAGGCAAGGAGGGAGUGUGGGUCCACAGUAGGCUUCCUGCAGUGACCUUGGCAAUCCCUGGCCUCCAUGCUGCCCCUCCCCAAUCCCUUGUUGUGCCUGCAGAGAACCACUCCAGACACAUUCCCGCCAGACCAUGGGGACUCCCGGGACCAGUGGAUGACUGUCUGGUGAUUCAUCUUCUAACAAGUCAGCAAGGCCCAGCUCCACACAACACAUCCUGCCAUUGCAUGCCUUGAGCCCCAUAGGGGCUGGCCCCACUAAUCAAUUCCCCUCACCAAAGAAGCUGGUUAUAAUUAACUUUCUCCCAAUGGCCAGACUAGAUGCUCACAUGAGCACCAGGCCCACACUGAUGAGAAUUGUGACUCAGUGCCCACUCUCUCCUGCCAAGAGCUGGAGAAAGGGAGAGGCUGUAUCCUGCAAUCAUUCCUUGGUGAAUGUCUUCUGGAGAUAUCUAAUAGCUCAGAAAAGGUAUUUUCAGAAAGUAACAGCACAAAAGAGCAGAAGACUUUGAGUUAGAAUGGACCAUAAGGAGGCAGCUGGGUGGCUCAAUGGAUUGAGAGCCAGGUCUGGAGAUGGGAGGUCCUGAGUUCAAAUACAGCUGCAGACACUUCCUCAAUGUGUGAUCCUGGGCAAGCCCUUUAAUCCCCAUUGCCUAGCCCUUAUUGCUCUUCUGCCUUGGAACCAAUACACAGUACACACACAGGGCUGCUCUGAUUUUAUCACCCAAGCCACCAUUCUUCACCCUUUCCCAUUUAUAUACCAUGUGUUGCUAGUUGUAAAGGUGAAAAUU